rnacentral:lncRNA from 1 species
CCUCACCCUCACCACCACCACCAUAUUAUUAUAAAUCUCCACCACCACCUAAACAUUCACCACCACCACCAUAUUACUACAAGUCACCACCUCCUCCCUCACCAUCACCACCUCCACCAUACUACUACAAGUCACCACCUCCACCUAAACAUUCACCACCCCCACCAUACUACUACAAGUCCCCACCUCCUCCCUCACCAUCACCACCUCCACCAUACUACUACAAGUCACCACCUCCACCUAAACAUUCACCACCCCCACCAUACUACUACAAGUCUCCACCUCCACCUAAACAUUCACCACCUCCACCUUAUUACUACAAGUCACCACCACCACCCUCACCAUCUCCUCCUCCUCCAUACUACUACAAGUCUCCACCUCCUCCUUCACCGUCUCCUCCACCACCAUACUAUUAUAAAUCUCCUCCACCACCUUCUAAAUCUCCUCCAACACCAUACUACUAUAAAUCCCCACCACCACCUUCACAUCCUUUACCACCACCCUAUUAUUACAAAUCUCCAC